UACAGAGGGGGCAAGCGUUGUUCGGAAUUACUGGGCGUAAAGGGCGCGUAGGCGGCCUUCUAAGUCGAACGUGAAAUCCCCGGGCUCAACCCGGGAACUGCGUCCGAUACUGGAAGGCUUGAAUCCGGGAGAGGGAUGCGGAAUUCCAGGUGUAGCGGUGAAAUGCGUAGAUAUCUGGAAGAACACCGGUGGCGAAGGCGACUCGCUGGACAGGUAUUGACGCUGAGGUGCGAAAGCGUGGGGAGCAAACAGGG
rnacentral:rRNA from 1 species